UACGUAGGGGGCGAGCGUUGUCCGGAAUUAUUGGGCGUAAAGAGCUCGUAGGCGGCUUGGCAAGUCGGAUGUGAAAACUCCAGGCUCAACCUGGAGCCGCCAUUCGAUACUGCUAUGGCUAGAGUCCGGUAGGGGAGUGUGGAAUUCCAUGUGUAGCGGUGAAAUGCGUAGAGAUAUGGAGGAACACCAGUGGCGAAGGCGACUUUCUGGUCUGUAACUGACACUGAGGCGCGAAAGCGUGGGGAGCAAACAGG
rnacentral:rRNA from 1 species